rnacentral:rRNA from 1 species
GACGAACGCUGGCGGCAUGCCUAACACAUGCAAGUCGAACGAGACCUUCGGGUCUAGUUGCGCACGGGGGCGUAACGCGUGGGAAGCUGCCCUUGGGUUCGGAAUCACUCCCCGAAGGGGGUGCUAAUACCGGAUAAUGUCUUACGACCAAAGAUUUAUCGCCUUUGGGUGGGCGCGCGUGGGAUUAGCUAGUUGGUAGGGUAAAAGCCUACCAAGGCGACGAUGCAUGGCUGGUCAGAGAGGAUGAUCAGCUACACUGGGACUGCGACACGGCCCAGACUCGUACGGGAGGCAGCAGUGGGGAAUAUUGUACAAUGGGCGAAAGGCUGACCCAGCCAUGCCGCGUGAGUGGUGAAGGCCUUAGGGUAGUAAAGCUCUUUUACACGGGAGGAUAAUGACAGUACCGGGAGAAUAAGCACCGGCUAACUCCGUG